GGGGCCUUGGCGCAGUUGGUAGCGCGUCUCGUUCGCAAUGAGAAGGUCGCGAGUUCGAUUCUCGUAGGCUCCA
rnacentral:tRNA from 5 species